CAGAGGACGCGUUACACGUGACUUACUAUCGCCUCACCAGAGGACGCGUUACAUCUCUCACCAAAGGACGCGUUACAACUCUCAUCAGAGGACGCGUUACAUCUCUCAUCAGAAGAGGCGUUACACCUCUCACCAGAGGACACAUUACACCUCUCCCGUACAUUAAUGUGUGUACUUUUCAGGACCCGUGACGCUUUGCAUACCAUGGCAGUACAGGGUUUCGGUGGAAACUGGGUGUGCCAUAAAAUUAGGGGGAUGUUUCCGGUUCACAUGGCGGGAAACGACACGUUGUCUUAAAAUCGUGUUGCUGUUUUGAAAAGAAAGAAAUGAAUCUUUGUGAACAAUGAAAACAAUCGGAGGCGUGGGGUAUGCUCCAAUUAAUUUUGUUGAUUUGUAAAUAACAAGAUGUAGAUUUGAAAUCCACGAGUUCGUGACUGACGUGUUUCGCAAUGUUUUCAUUUGUUUCCGUUUUCAAAAGAAGAACAAAAAUAAACAUUUUAAAAUA